AAAGUUGACGGCGGAUACCUAGGGACUCAGAGUCGAUGAAGGGCGUAGUUACCGACGAUACGCUUCGGGGAGCUGGAAUCAAGCUUUGAUCCGAAGAUUCCCGAAUAGGGCAACCUUAUAUACUUCCUGUUGAAUUCAUAGACAGGUAAGAGACAACCCGGCGAAUUGAAACAUCUUAGUAGCCGGUGGAAAAGAAAGCAAACGCGAUUCCCUUAGUAGUGGCGAGCGAAAAGGGAUCAGUCUAAACCGAAAGAAUAUUUCGGGGUUGUGGGACAAAAACACAAAUUCUUUUUUGUUAGAUGAAGCAGCUGAAUCCUGCACCAUAGAAGGUGAAAGUCCUGUAAUCGAAAACUAAAUGAAUUUUUUGUAUCCCGAGUAGCAUGGGGCACGUGAAAUCCCGUGUGAAUCAACGAGGACCACCUCGUAAGACUAAAUACUCCUGAGUGACCGAUAGUGAAACAGUACCGUGAGGGAAAGGUGAAAAGAACCCCCAUAGGGGAGUGAAAUAGAUCAUGAAACCGUAAGCUUACAAGCAGUGGGAGGACUCUUAGAAAGUCUGACCGCGUGCCUGUUGAAGAAUGAGCCGGCGACUUAUAGGCAGUGGCUUGGUUAAGGUGUCAAACCGGAGCCAGAGCGAAAGCAAGUCUGAAUAGGGCGUAUGUCCCUGCUUAUGGACCCGAACCCGGGUGAUCUAACCAUGACCAGGAUGAAGCUUCAGUAAAAUGAAGUGGAGGUCCGAACCGACCGAUGUUGAAAAAUCGGCUGAUGAGUUGUGGUUAGGGGUGAAAUGCCAAUCGAACUCGGAGCUAGCUGGUUCUCCCCGAAAUGCGUUGAGGCGCAGCGGUUUAACUUUGAGUUAUCUAGGGGUAAAGCACUGUAUCGGUGCGGGCUGCGAAAGCGGUACCAAAUCGUAACAAACUCUGAAUACUAGAUAAUAUGGUUAGCCAGUGAGACGGUGGGGGAUAAGCUUCAUCGUCAAGAGGGAAACAGCCCAGAUCACCAUCUAAGGCCCCAAAAUGACCGCUAAGUGGCAAAGGAGGUAAGAGUGCAAAGACAACCAGGAGGUUUGCCUAGAAGCAGCCACCCUUAAAAGAGUGCGUAAUAGCUCACUGGUCAAGCGCUCUCGCGCCGAAAACGAACGGGACUAAGCGGUCUGCCGAAGUUGUGAGUUUUAUUCCAAUAAGAAUGAAACGGUAGGGGAGCGUUCCGCUCUAGGGUGAAGCAUCAGCGAAAGCAGGUGUGGACGAAGCGGAAGUGAGAAUGUCGGCUUGAGUAGCGAAAACAUUGGUGAGAAUCCAAUGCCCCGAAACCCUAAGGGUUCCUCCGCAAGGCUCGUCCACGGAGGGUGAGUCAGGUCCUAAGAUAAGGCCGAAAGGCGUAGUCGAUGGCUAUCAGGUUAAUAUUCCUGAACUUUUUUAACGUUGUCCCGAGGGACGAAGGAGGCUAGGUUAGCCGGAUACUGGUUACCGGUGAAACAUCUCGUUAAGAGGUGGAGACUAGGCAUUACGGUGCACAAAGUAACUGAUGCCACACUUCCAAGAAAAGCUCGUACGACGAAAACGUUAAAAAACCUGUACCAUAAACCGACACAGGUGGGGAGGUAGAGAAUACCAAGGGGCGCGAGAUAACUCUCUCUAAGGAACUCGGCAAAAUGGCCCCGUAACUUCGGAAGAAGGGGUACCCCAUCAUGGGGCUGCAGUGAUCAGGCCCAGGCGACUGUUUACCAAAAACACAGGUCUCCGCAAAGUCGUAAGACGAUAUAUGGGGGCUGACGCCUGCCCAGUGCCGGAAGGUUAAGGAAGUUGGUUAUCCGUAAGGAGAAGCUAGCGACUGAAGCCCCGGUGAACGGCGGCCGUAACUAUAACGGUCCUAAGGUAGCGAAAUUCCUUGUCAGGUAAGUUCUGACCCGCACGAAAGGCGUAACGACUCUGGGCGCUGUCUCGGAGAGAGACUCGGCGAAAUAGACUUGUCCGUGAAGAUGCGGACUCCCUGCACCUGGACAGAAAGACCCUAUGAAGCUUUACUGUACCCUGCAAUUGGCUUUGGGCUCCUCUUGCGCAGCUUAGGUGGAAGGCGUUGAAGAUUUUCUUCCGGGAAAGUUGGAGCCAACAGUGAGAUACCACUCUGGAGGAGCUAGAAGUCUAAUCGCAUUCCUUGAAUCAGGAUGCGUGACAGUUUCAGGCGGGCAGUUUGACUGGGGCGGUCGCCUCCUAAAAGGUAACGGAGGCGCACAAAGGUCCCCUCAGGCUGGACGGAAAUCAGUCGUAGAGUGUAAAGGCAGAAGGGAGCUUGACUGCAAGACCUACAAGUCGAGCAGGGACGAAAGUCGGUCUUAGUGAUCCGACGGUGCUGUGUGGAAAGGCCGUCGCUCAACGGAUAAAAGUUACUCUAGGGAUAACAGGCUGAUCUCCCCCAAGAGUUCACAUCGACGGGGAGGUUUGGCACCUCGAUGUCGGCUCAUCGCAACCUGGGGCGGAAGUACGUCCCAAGGGUUGGGCUGUUCGCCCAUUAAAGCGGUACGUGAGCUGGGUUCAGAACGUCGUGAGACAGUUCGGUCCAUAUCCGGUG
rnacentral:rRNA from 1 species